rnacentral:tRNA from 1 species
AAGGGAGACCUAAUUCAGGUAAAAGACGAAAAAAGAGUAGUCGCUACCAAGAAUCAAUCCCAAAAGGUCGGAGCGAGGCGAAAUUGGCUUUCAAACUAGGUUCUGGGUUCAAACAAGACCUGAAUCAGGAACAAGGGCUAUUAGCUCAGGUGGUUAGAGCGCACCCCUGAUAAGGGUGAGGUCCCUGGUUCGAGUCCAGGAUGGCCCACCUGCACAGGUGGCGAAAACAAGAGAAGCGAGGAAUCAGCACCUUAUCUUACUUAUAUAGUAAGAGAGAAUGCUGGCUCUGAGUCAAGAGUCCAGAGGAACCUUGAAAACUGCAUAGAGCUAGGUGAAAAAGCCAAAAAAGAAGACCGCAAGGUCAAGCUAAUAAGGGCUAACGGUGGAUACCUAGGCAC